GUAGGUGUAUAAUUAUAAUAUUUCUAAUAAGAAAUAUAUUUGGUCUUUGUCUCCAGUUUCUGGUGCAAAGCUCUUAAAACCCUUGGAAUUUCCUGAGUGAUAGGAGUGUCUUUGUUAUUCACAACAUCACAGGGACAAUAGCUCCUGUACUCACGAUUCUUCUGGACCUCAGCCUAUGUACCUUUUCAUUUGGUUCAUCCAUAUCCUUUAUAAUACUCUUUACAAUGAGCUGGUAAAUAUAAGUAAAUGUUUUCCUGAGUUUUGUGUGCCAUUCUAGCAAAUUAGCAAACCAAGGAAAGGGUUAUGAGAAUCCCUGAUUAAGACCUCAAGAUCAGUCAGAAGUACAAGUGAUCCAGACUUGCAAUUGGCAUCUAAAGUGAACGGGGGCAGUCUUGUGGGGCUGAGCCCUUAACCUGUGAGGUCUGUGCUAACUCCACAUAAUGAGAGUUAGUAUUGAAUUGAGUUGUAGGACACAUGGUUGGUGUCCAGGGACUUGAAUUGCUUGGUAUGGAAAAAAAAAAAAAACACACAUUUGGUGUCAGAAUUGUUGUGAACAGAGUAACAGUUUUCCCAGAAUAGGGCAUGAUGUUUUUGUUUCCUAUAUUCAUUUCUGGCCCUCUUACAAGUCUGUAAACAGAUUCCAGUGAUAUGUUUUCCAACAGGGAAAGCAAUGGGGUGAACCAGAGCAUUGAGAGAAAAUUGCCUGCAAUCUCCACCACACUCCCACCUGCCACCAAAUAACACAGCUAAGGGGUCUAAGCUCUGCUAAAAAUGACAGGUGUGUAGUCAACCUCUGUGUAAGUUCUGUUUCCUUGGAAGGGCCUUUCUAAGAACAGAGGUAGACUCUAAGUUGUUUUUUUGUUUGUUUGUCUUGUUUGUUUUUUGCUUAAUGGAAAACCAGGCUGUCAACAGAUUUUGAGACCAAUACUUCUAAGUUAGAAUGGUUAACCAAAUCAUCAAGGGAGAAAUCUAGAAAAAAUACUGGAGUCUCGUUCUAAGCAUGAGCUUUUGACACAAAUAGAUGUGGCUUUAAAUCUUAAAACAUGCUGCCAUUUAUGAGCUUUAGGAUCUUGAGCAUGUUAGUUAAUUUAUUCUAGCCUCUUUUCCCAUCUAGGGUGACCAUUCCUUCCACUUUUCCUGGUACAGUACAAGCUAUACCUGUUGUCCCUUGAUAAUUAAUAAAAGUUGCCUUAUCAUUCUGAAAGGGCCCCAGUUUGGAUAAUAAAUGUUAUGGCUACAUCCAUUCUUCUGUAAAAUGGAAAUAAUAAGCACCUCCCAGGGUGGUUAUGAAAGCUAACCAUAAUCUAUAUUAGUAACUACUAUAAUGCCUUGCACAUAGAAAGUGCUCAGUGAAAACUAGUUCUCCUUUACCUGUUCACACCAGAUCUAUACUGUCCAGUACAGUAGCCAUUAGCCUCACAUUGCUACUGAGGAAUGUGCUAUAAAUGCAAAAAAUGCACAAGAUUUUGAAGAUUUAGUACAACAAAAGAAGAUUAAAUAUCUCAUUAAUAAUUUUAUAUUAAUUACAUGUCCAAAUGAUAUUAUUUUGGAUAUACUGUAUUAAGUUAAACAAAAUUUAUUGUUAAAAUUAAUUACAACUGUUUAUUUUUACUUUUUUUGGCAUGACUUCUUAAAAAAACCCUGGAUCACAGCUCCAGAUGUUCUGUUUAUGUAACUGCUAACCCCCUAACCUCAUCCACCAUCACCACCUCACUCUUAGCUUCCCCCUGCCCAGGAAUUCUUCCUUCUAAAACUCAAUGCAAGAAUCAAGUACUCUUUCAUCAUAUUUACCAACAUGUUCUUACUUUAUUUUCUGGAUUUUGGGAGGUAAAAGGGCAGUCAACUAGGGGGCAAAAUAAAAUCAACCUUGAUCAUGGCUCUCACGAAUGGUUUUUCCUUAGGGAUAGAAGCAUUGACCUUGAAUACAUUAGGAAAGCUGAAGAAUCUGGGUCAACAUUGGAAAAUGUCCAUAUUAACAAAGAAAAAGGAGCUUGGUUUGCCAGAAAAGAUAUUGCAAUCUCUCCCUCGAUCAGAUUUGCUAAUUCUUGUGAAUGCUUGUGAAACACCUCGGGUCUCAAAUCCAAAUCACAUGAAGAACUAGGCCCUUGAGCACAUCAUUGGUGCUGUCUCUUUGACAAAAAGCAUUUUUAGUUGAUGGAAAAUCACCAACUUUCACCCCUAAAAACAUCUGUGAAGAGCAGAAAACAGCCUGACUCUUAUAGAUGUCCCUGACAGAUUUUCAGAUAUGUAAUAUUUUAAAAAUGUUUUUGUUGGGAAGAACCCAUUGGCUGGGGUGGUUGUCCUGGCAUCACAUGUAGACACCUGUCAAUUCUGUCAUAGAGGUAAAAGAGAAGCUGGUUUCUUAGCACAACCAAAAAUGAGCUUUAGUUAAUGUACUGAAUUUUUCACAGUUCAACCAGUUGUUUUAGCACUGCACAGACACAAAUGUGUACAUUACUCCCCAGAAGAGCACCGUGUCCCCUGACAGUCUUAUAGCUUAGAAGGAGGGAAAUAGACAAUAUGAGGAGUACGUGUUGGAUAAAUCUAAUAUCUAAUGUAUUCCAUGAGAUGGUUUGCGUCUGAGCUCCACCACCUCUCAUCAGUUAACUCUCGCAUUCACUCACCCCACAAUCAAAUAAUUCCCUUCUAAUUCUCUUCUUUGAUAGCAAGCCAACCCUGGGAGAAACAAUGGUUUGGAACAAUAGCACCUGAGGUGGAAGAAAACACAGUGGGCCUCUCACUUUCGCUCUCUAACCACAACAAUUGAAAGAGACUAUGGCCUGAAAAAUCUAUCUGCUCCUAAAUGGUACCCAGAUGGAAAUCACAGCUGCUGUCAUGUACCACCUGUACCUACGCCCAUCCAUCUUCAGAACACGCCUGGGGCAGAGGAGAGAAAUCGAGUUGACAGAGCAGUUAAAGAGCCUCUCUUUUCUCCUGCAUACUUUUCCUUUUAUCUUUUUCUCUUCAGUUUCAGAGCUUCUUGUUCUCACCUUCAUGCUGUGGCAAUGCUGACAAAAGAAAACUGCAGCCUCUGAGAACCAGUGUUCUGGAGACUGAGACAUCCAAGGUUGGCGGGGGGCACAUCUGGUGAGAGAGAGCCUUCUUGCUGGUGGGGACUCUGAAGUGCCCCACAGGGUAUCCCAUGGAGAGGGAGCUGAGGGUGCUCCCAUGUGCCCACUUAGCACUCUCUUCCUCUUCUUAUAAGCCACCAGUUCCCUUCCCAUGAUAACUCAUUAAUCCAUUAACCCAUUAAUUGAAGAAUGGAUUAAUCCAUCCAUGAAGGCCAAGCCCUCAUAACCAAUCACCUCGUAAAGGCCCACCUCUCGGAAACUGGGAAACUGACACUUCCUGCCUUAUAUUGUUGCAGUUGCAAAGAUCAAAUACCAAGGUUAUGGGAAGAUGUUUUGAAGCCCCAUAUAAAUAUGUAAUUUAAUUUAUUCCAAUAAAGACUCAUUGCACAGGCUGGGCACAAUGGCUCACACCUCUCAUUUCAGCUCUUUGGGAGGUCAAGGUGGGCCGAUUGCUUGAGCCCAGGAGUUCGCGACCAGCCUGGGCAAUAUGAUGAAACCCCAUUUCUACAAAAAAAAUACAAAAAUUAGCUGGGUGUGGAGGUGUGCAUGCUUGUAGUCCCAGCUACUUGAGAGGCUGAGUGGGAGAUCGCUUGAGCUUGAGAGGCAGGGAUUGCAGUGAGCCGAGAUUAUGCCACUGCACUCCAGCCUGGGCGACAGAGCAAGACCAUGUGUCAAAAACAAACCAACCAACAAACAAACAAAGACUCAUUGCACAUAUAAGCAAUAGAUCAACCAUUUUCAAAGAGCAUAACCAAAAAAAAAAUCCAACACUACACAAAUCUUGAAUAUAAUUUAACCUUUCUUCGAAAGUUUAGAAAGUAUUUCAAGAUGAGGCAAUGCUUUUCUCUAACAUUAACAUGAGCAUCGAUUACAGAAAUGUUCCACUGAAUUACAUGGCAAAAUUAAAAUUCUGAUGAUUUUAUGUACAUGGUUGCUUGAAAUAUGAGCUAUCAGUAGCUACUAUAUCCCAUUAGGCCUUUCAAGUUCACAUCAUAAGUUGUAUAAGAGAUAGGACACCUCCAUUGAAAACAUCAGUCGACUUAGACGAUUUCUGUCAGAUAUUAUUGAUUCAGCAAUAUAAGAAUGCGACGAUGUAGUCCCAGCUACUGGGGAGGCUGAGGCAGGAGAAUGGCGUGAACCUGGGAGGCAGAGCUUGCAGUGAGCCUGGGAGACGGAGCUUGCAGUGAGCCGAGAUCGCGCCACUGCACUCCAGCCUGGGUGACAGAGCAAGACUUCGUCUCAAAAAAAAAAAAAAAAAAAAGUCAACGAAAGGACAUGGGUUUGGAGAGUAACCAGAGAUGCUGCCAAUUAAAGAUACCCCUUACUCAAGACACUUUAUUUCUCUCUGUUGGAACAUUGUCAUAAUAUACUGUCAUCUACUAAAAAAUUACUGUAAUAAAUAUAAAAAUCUUCACUGUCUGCCAUGACAGGAACCGCAUGAGCUGUUAUGCCCUUCUGCAACGCAGAACUUUCCCAACCAUAUAUGGUGGCCCUGAGAUGUGUAGUUUUGCCCUUUACACCUUUAUUUUCUAUUAGUACAUUUACUUUUUAAAAAAGUAUGAACUAUCAUUUGCAAUUUGAAAAACAUCAAAUACAGAACAUUUAAAAAAUAUAUCGCUAGACCUCAAAAUGAAUCUUAAUGGCAAUCACAGAUUUCAACCCUUUCAACCAGAUUUCUGAGUGUCUGAACAUAGAUGUAGGCUCUGAGACUAUGAUUUCUAGCUUGUUUUUCCUAAAUAUUCACUGUGUAAUUGGGACACUAUCACUUAGCCCCUUUGUUCCUUAUUAUAUCAUUUAUAAAUUUUAUAACUAUAUUUUAAUAAAGGUACUUAAUAUCUAGAUAAUAGAUAAAUGGUUUGUCUAUAAUCCCUAAUUUAUAUACAAUAAGUCUACCAACUUUUAUGGUAGAACUUCAUAAGUUUUAAACUAGUAUAAUAUUUAAUUUUUAGUAUAUAAACAUCUGAUGUGGUUUGGCUGUGUCCUCACCCAAAUCUCUCCAUGAAUUGUAAUAAUCCCCAGGUGUCAAGGGCAGGGCCAGGUGGAAAUAAUUGAAUCACUAGGGCGGUUUCCCCCAUACUGUUCUCAUGGUCCUGAGUAAGUCUCCUGAGAUCUGAUGGUUUUAUAAAUGGGAGUUUUCCUGCACUAGUGCUCUUGCCUGCUGACAUGUGAGAUGUGACUUUGCUCCUCAUUCACCUUCCACCAUGAUUGUGAGGCCUCCCCAGCAAUGUGGAACUAUGAGUCAAUUAAACCUUUUUCCUUUAUAAAUUACCCUGUCUCGGGUAUGUCCUUAUUAGCAGCAUGAGAACAGACUAAUACAAUAUCCCAUCAAAUUAUAAAUGAAUCUGAGGCUCUGAUUCAGACAAAGGAUGGAUGGAUUGGUAGUCACAUUUAUCUAUAGAAUAAAACUGGAAUGACAUACAGUACAAUGUUUCAGUGAUUCAUGAAUGGUUGGGAUAUGGCAGUUUUAAUUUUCAUAUUUGUACAUUUCUGUAUUUGGUGAAUUUUGUAUAAUGAUCAUGAAUUGUUUCUGUUGAGAAUGUUGUUGGAACAGUUGGGCUGGGAAAAUCUCUACCUCCCACAAAGUAUUUUGGAGAAAGGAACUGUGAACAGCCUGGAGGAAAAUUUAAUAUUUAACUCAAACAAGUGGCAUCCACUAUAUUCACACUGGCAGAGCUUUUCAGAAUUAGAGUCUUGCUUUCUUUUUGUAAGCAUCAGGAUUGAUUUUUAUAUGUGUUCUAAUCUUAGUUUAGUCCUUUAACCAUUUUUCCCAGGAUAAUAGAAAUGAAAGAAUGUUGUAUUUUGGCUUGCUGAGUUAGAAUGAAUGGAAAAAACUUAAAGGAAGCAGCAGAAGGAACAGUGAGAAUGACAUACAUUUUCUUUUUUUCUUUUUUUUUUUUUGAGAGUGAGUCUUGCUCUGUGACCCAGGCUAGAGUGCAGUAGCACGAUCUCGGCUCACUGCAAACUCUGCCUCCCGGGUUCCAGCGAUUCUCCUGCCUCAGCCUCCCGAAUAGCUGGGAUUAGAGGCGUCCACUACAGCGCCUGGCUAAUUUUUGUAUUUUUUAGUAGAGACAGGGUUUCAUCAUUUUGGCCAGGCUGGUCUGGAACUCCUGACCUCAUGAUCCACUUGCCUCAGUCUCCCAAAAUGCUGGGAUUACAGGCAUGAGCCACUGAGCCCAGCCGACAUACAUUUUCUCUAGAUCACUGCAGCCUAGCUUAAAUAUGCUUCUCUAGGUCAUCUCUCUAUUUCCACCUAUAUCUGUGCAUCAACAUCUCAGGCUAUUAUGUUCUCAAAUCUGUUUUCAAUAUGAAAAUACAGACAUGAGAAAGAGCCAAUGCUGUUCUCAGGAUCUUACAAUUCAUUCUGCAUCUACACAGUCCUGGAGUUCCAAACACAGAUUGCCAUAACAAGAGAAAUUAGCCAGAGCACUAACUGUUUUCAAAAUAACAAUUCAUUUCACUAAAAUCAGUGAAUGGCUCUUUUCAAAGCGUAAUUAUACUUUCUAGGGGAAGACAUUAGGUCUACUGAAAGUAAGUCACCUAAUUUACAGAUACCAAUGAUGAAAAUCUUCUCAAGGCAUUGGGGGAAUAAAAGACAUUAAUUCUCAGUUUGUAAAUGAACAUGAAAUGUGAUGUGCCCACUACCAUGUGGGUGUUUCUCUGCAGAUCUGCUAGUAAGCAGGCAUAAUGUGCCAGUAAGAAGGCAACCUGGAAAACAUAGCCAGGAACUGGGACAACUGGGAAGCUGAUAGAAAGAGUUGUUUAAUGUGUAAGCUGUCGUCUGCACACACAGAAGCAUUUCCAUGGCUAUGAACAAAGGGUAACUGCGGGGUGGUUUAUUAAUUGAAAAUAAAUGUCCUUUUCUUUGUGAAAUGGCUAGAUAUUGAAAAACCAAACACAUGCUAAGAGGACGUGCACAGUCAGCAGAGAAACAUCAGCUUGGAAAAAUCUGCCAACAAGGAGAAAGUUUAGAAUGGAUUGGUUUCCUGUCUCUGCACAACAAAUAAACCACCAAGGGAUUCCCAAGGAUCUAAAUAAUGAACCAAUCUCUCUCUCUCCUUUUCCCUUUCCAUCUCCCUCUCCCUCACUCCCUUCUCUUACGUGCAUCGGAGAAUGGUGAGCAAGUACCUAGGGAACUACAGUAUUUUGGGUCCUCCUUCUGACAAGGCAACUAACACCUGAAAAAAAAAAAUGAAUCCCAUACAUUUCAUACUAAAGAACUGGGGGCUUACUACGAGACAAAAGAAAAAUUAGAUCUCUAGUUCGGAAGGCAAUUUUUUCCACAUCGUUAAAUAAAUAUGGUCAGCAUUCAACAAUUGUGCUGAUGAAGUGAGUAUGUGGAUAUAUUACAGAAUCAAUUUUCUUACCUAUUUUAUUUCUAGGCUCAGCAUCAGGUUGUUAAUUUUGACCCAGCCAUCCCAUUACUGGGUAUAUACCCAAAGGACUAUAAAUCAUGCUGCUAUAAAGACACAUGCACACGUAUGUUUAUUGCGGCAUUAUUC
rnacentral:lncRNA from 10 species